AGUAUAUUGCUACUUUUCCUAGCGGCGGACGGGUGAGUAAUGCUUAGGAAUCUGCCUAUUAGUGGGGGACAACAUCUCGAAAGGGAUGCUAAUACCGCAUACGUCCUACGGGAGAAAGCAGGGGACCUUCGGGCCUUGCGCUAAUAGAUGAGCCUAAGUCGGAUUAGCUAGUUGGUGGGGUAAAGGCCUACCAAGGCGACGAUCUGUAGCGGGUCUGAGAGGAUGAUCCGCCACACUGGGACUGAGACACGGCCCAGACUCCUACGGGAGGCAGCAGUGGGGAAUAUUGGACAAUGGGGGGAACCCUGAUCCAGCCAUGCCGCGUGUGUGAAGAAGGCCUUUUGGUUGUAAAGCACUUUAAGCGAGGAGGAGGCUACCGAGAUUAAUACUCUUGGAUAGUGGACGUUACUCGCAGAAUAAGCACCGGCUAACUCUGUGCCAGCAGCCGCGGUAAUACAGAGGGUGCAAGCGUUAAUCGGAUUUACUGGGCGUAAAGCGCGCGUAGGUGGCCAAUUAAGUCAAAUGUGAAAUCCCCGAGCUUAACUUGGGAAUUGCAUUCGAUACUGGUUGGCUAGAGUAUGGGAGAGGAUGGUAGAAUUCCAGGUGUAGCGGUGAAAUGCGUAGAGAUCUGGAGGAAUACCGAUGGCGAAGGCAGCCAUCUGGCCUAAUACUG
rnacentral:rRNA from 1 species